UACGUAGGGGGCAAGCGUUGUCCGGAUUUAUUGGGCGUAAAGGGUGCGUAGGUGGCGCUGUAAGUGGGGUGUGAAAUCCCGGGGCUUAACUCCGGAACUGCAUUCCAUACUGCGGUGCUUGAGGACUGGAGAGGAGACUGGAAUUUACGGUGUAGCAGUGAAAUGCGUAGAGAUCGUAAGGAACACCAGUGGCGAAAGCGGCUUCCUGGUCCAGCACCGACGUUCAGGCACGAAAGCGUGGGGAGCAAACAGG
rnacentral:rRNA from 1 species